GUGGUGGAACUGCAAGUAGCAGCUGUUUGCAUCAGCGGGGUUGUUGUUUCCGCAUCACGUGACCUGGACGAGCCUUUUGUUUACGUUUUAAUCCGUGGUUAUUGUGUGUGUGUGUGUGUGUGUGUGUGUGUGUGUGAGCGCGCGCGAGUCGGGUAGCAACAGAGAAGUGGACAUGUGUAACUUCAGAAGUGAAAGUAAAUGAGCCCAACUCUGGCAUCCGCUACAAGAUGUUCAGUGGGAGGAUCCUCCACCAGAGGGUAAUUGUGAGGCAAGAGGAGCUGAGAGGGAACCAGCUAAACUACAGAGGAAAUGUGGAGACACGAACCGAAGCUUAACCAAGGAGCAUUUCUUUAGACGUGUUUCUGCUGCGACUGAGGCCUGUGAUGCUGGAAGGCUGAAGAUUAUCCCGGAGUGGAGCGAGCUAAAUGGUUUCCUUGAAGUAAUAAACUUUCCGAAUCUGACGCCAUGGCAGCCUUGUGAAUGCCAACAACAAACCCCCACGAAGGAAUGCAGACAGAUGCUGUGAAAACCCGACCUACCCCCCCGCCCCGCCUUCGGAUUGGUGGACUUCAGCCUGGCGAGGUCAUCAACCUGCAGGUGUCAAUGUGCUCUGCGCUCCUCCCAAGAUCUCCCUCCCACCUGUGGCUACAGUGGCUGAGCGCCAUGGGGAUGCUCUCGCUGGGGAAGCAGGAUGCCAGCCCCCCCCCUCGGUGUCUCAUGUUGUGAAUUGUUGAUGUUUGUGCUUAUAUGUUCGAGGCGUUUUUUUUUUUUUUUUGCAUAGUAAAGCUACGCCCUGCCGGGAGUAACUCUGGUAUGCCUUUUGUUUCCCUCCCCCAAUUUAUCCUCUUGUAAUCCCAUUUUCAUCUUAUUAACGGUAGCGCGACUCUUGUUGCGAAUGACCACAGCACCAAUUCUUCUGUACUGAAACAAUUGCCCCUCGGGGAUGAUUAAAGUUUUUUUUUGAUUGAAUUGAAUCCAGUAA